GGCACUAUAGUGUAGUGGUUUAUCACUUGGGAUUUUGAUUUCGUUUGCUUAUCUGAGCAAGGGAAAAGGUUUCCCAUAACCCAGGUUCGAACCCUGGUAGUGCCU
rfam:Postia placenta Mad-698-R POSPLscaffold_147_Cont5845, whole genome shotgun sequence.